UGUGGUGUGAUACUGGAUAUAGGGGUUUAUUCCCCUUAGUUCUGUCUGAGUAUGUUAGUGAAAUAGAAAGCUGGUUUCAGGUGGAAGGAAAAACGCAUAUCUGAUGUUUUCUUUCAGAUGUUCCUAAGCUCCAGCACAUCUCCUGAGAUUCACAGUUAUUUGCAUGCAAAGGAGCAGGGGGAAAAAUCCCGGACAGAACUGUACUUUCUUUUGAGAAGAUCUGGCCUUUAUUUUUCCACUAAAGGUACAUCUGAGGAGCCAAGGCAUCUGCAGUUUUUCUGUGAAUUCAGCCUUAGUGAUACGUACAUGUCUUUGACAGGCAAAAAGAUUUCUGGAGCACCAACAAACCAUGGAUUCUGCUUUAAGGUAUUGUGUUCAAGGUAUGCAUUAAUGCUAAAAAAAUGUGCUGUGGCCGACUAGCCUAACAAAUCAGGAGGAAACCGAGACCUGAAACAGCUCUGUGC